UAGAACACGUGGGAUAGGGGAUGACCUUGUCGACCGGUUAUCGGUCCCCUGCUCCUUCGAGCUGGCAAGGCGCCCAAAGGUUCUA
rfam:Pea enation mosaic virus-2 strain TK RNA-dependent RNA-polymerase, phloem RNA movement protein, and cell-to-cell RNA movement protein genes, complete cds.